GACGAACGCUGGCGGCGUGCUUAACACAUGCAAGUCGAACGGAAAGGCCCUGCUUGCAGGGUACUCGAGUGGCGAACGGGUGAGUAACACGUGGGUGAUCUGCCCUGCACUUCGGGAUAAGCCUGGGAAACUGGGUCUAAUACCGGAUAGGAGCCAUUUUUAGUGUGAUGGUUGGAAAGUUUUUUCGGUGUAGGAUGAGCUCGCGGCCUAUCAGCUUGUUGGUGGGGUAAUGGCCUACCAAGGCGGCGACGGGUAGCCGGCCUGAGAGGGUGGACGGCCACAGUGGGACUGAGAGACGGCCCAGACUCCGACGGGAGGCAGCAGUGGGGAAUAUUGCACAAUGGGCGCAAGCCUGAUGCAGCGACGCCGCGGGGGGGAUGACGGCCUUCGGGUUGUAAACCCCUUUCGCUAGGGACGAAGCUUUUUGUGACGGUACCUAGAUAAGAAGCACCGGCUAACUACGUG
rnacentral:rRNA from 1 species